rnacentral:rRNA from 1 species
AUUGAACGCUGGCGGCAUGCCUUACACAUGCAAGUCGAACGGCAGCGCGGACUUCGGUCUGGCGGCGAGUGGCGAACGGGUGAGUAAUACAUCGGAACGUACCCUGUUGUGGGGGAUAACUAGUCGAAAGAUUAGCUAAUACCGCAUACGAGCUGAGGGGGAAAGUGGGGGACCGCACGGCCUCACGCACUAGGAGCGGUCGAUGUCUGGUUAGCUAGUUGGUGGGGUAAAGGCCCACCAAGGCGACGAUCAGUAGCUGGUCUGAGAGGACGAUCAGCCACACUGGGACUGAGACACGGCCCAGACUCCUACGGGAGGCAGCAGUGGGGAAUUUUGGACAAUGGGGGCAACCCUGAUCCAGCAAUGCCGCGUGUGUGAAGAAGGCCUUCGGGUUGUAAAGCACUUUUGUCCGGAAAGAAAUCGCGCUGGUUAAUACCUGGCGUGGAUGACGGUACCGGAAGAAUAAGCACCGGCUAACUACGUGCCAGCAGCCGCAGUAA